CUCGAGGAAAAUCAUCACCCCAUCAUUUAAGAAUAAUUACAACAAAUUUAAUAUUUUUGAGAAAAAUGGGUAGCGUUAUUUUUGAUAAAGUACUUGGUGAUAUCAGCCGACGAUCAGCAUAUUCUCAAAUUCUUAUUGGAGUUGCAUCCGGGCGACUGGAUUUACAACUAUGAAAAUUGGAAAAAUUGCCGCAUUUGUGAUUGGAGGAAGUAUUAUUUUAGUGGAAAUCGCUCAUCAAGAGGGCCUUAUCCAAGUUAAUUGGCCAAAGUUAAUGAAAAAGAUGGACAUAAUUACAAAACAAAUACAAUCUCCUGUAGUAGAAAAUCAUGCGACUCUGAUUAAAAAGACAGAAACAUAUAUUGAUGGCAAACUAGACAAAGCUGACAGUUUUGUACAAAACAGCAAUAAGACCUUUAAAAAGUGGUACACUAAAAUGAUUGGCGAUGAUAAUGGACCCAGAAUAACAUCGUUACACAUUUUCCUGUGUGGUUUUAUUGGUGGAGUGGCAUUGGGGAUAGCUACUAGCUAAUUUCAACAAUAAUAUAUCUCUUUCAAAAAUAUUUUCUAUCCAAUCUUCGAUCAUAAAGGUCGAUAUUUCAAUAAGACAUGUAAACUACAGUAUCUAUUUAUUUA
rnacentral:misc_RNA from 1 species